GACGAACGCUGGCGGCGUGCCUAACACAUGCAAGUCGAACGGAAAGGCCCUGCUUUUUUGGGGUGCCCGAGUGGCGAACGGGUGAGUAACACGUGAGUAACCUGCUCUUGACUUUGGGAUAACUUAAGGUAACUGGGGUUAAUAUCGGAUCGGAGCCCCUGUUGCAUGGUGGGCGUUGGAUCGUUUCGGCGGUUGCGGAUGGACUCGCGGGUUUUCAGCUUGUUGGUGGGGUAGUGGCUUACCAAGGCAUUGACGGGUCCCCGGCCUGGGAGGGUGACCGGGGACAUUGGGACUGAGGGACGGCCCAGACGCCAACGGGGGGCAGAGGGGGGAAGUAUGAUACAAUGGUCGGAAGCCUGAGACAGCGGCGCCGCGUGCGUGAAGACGGCUUUCGGGGUGUGAACCGCAUUCGCCUGUGACGAAGCGGUAGUGACGGUAAUGAGUAAAGAAGCACCGGCUAACUACGUG
rnacentral:rRNA from 1 species